GCCUUCGCUGUGUAGUGGUCAGCACAUUUGUCCCGUAUUCGAGAAGUCCCUGGUUCGAGUCCUGGCGAAGGCA
rnacentral:tRNA from 1 species